AUGGAUCAAAAUUCAACUUAUGUGCUGAAAAUCAAUUUGCUUGGCAACCCAAAAAAGGCUAGAAAGGAUAUCAAAUGCUUCUGUUUUGAUAAGGUUAUUGAUUCUGACUUAACAAAUUAUAAGGACUUGGUUGAAUCAAUCGUAGAGCAGUACUCGCCUCGUUAUUUGGAGGUUGCACAUGUUCAGUACUAUGAUGAUGUUCUUAAAAUCUACCCUGAAAAGGUUGUGCACAUGUUUGUUGCGUAUUGUGAUCCAUCGGAACCAUAUGAGCCUAUAAUGGAGUGGCAUAGUGAUGCGCAUAGCCAACCUAACAACAUAGAACAAGAUGAUGAUGAUGAUUAUCUUCGCAACCUAGUACCUGAGAAUGAGCAUGUUGGUGUUGAUGAGGAAAAUAUUUAUUUAGAGGAUGAACCUGUACCUCUUAUCAUGGUUCCUUGUUCCAAUAAAGAAAAGGACAAAGACUAUGUUCCUGAUCAUGAGAGCGAGGCUGAGAGCGAUGUUGAGAGCGAGGAUGAGAGCGAGGAUGAGAGCAUGUCAGAGGUUGAAGUACAGGAAGAUGAGGAAUAUCACGAGGCAGAUCAUGCACCACACAUUGAAUAUAAUAAAUUAGAUCCUCCAAUGAACGAAGGAAGAAAAUAUCCCAAUAUUGCAGAGUUUAAAUUGGCGCUUUCUCAGCAUGCAAUCAAACAUGAAUUUGAGUUUGACACCGAAAAGAGUGCACCACAUAGGUUCAGAGCUUAUUGUUCAAGAAGGGAUGAAGAUAAGUGUCCAUGGAGGAUAUAUGCGUCUACAAUGGAAGAUGAGUGCACAGUAAUGGUAAUUUUCUAA
rnacentral:rRNA from 1 species